UUCACACUUUAGCACUCAGUUUCCAGUUUAUUAGAUACAUCUAGCUAACACUAAUGCAGUGUUAUACAACAUGCCUGCAAUAAAUCCUACCUUCAUGAAGUAUGUUGGUGCCCUGGAGGAGAUGCUGGUGGCUCUGAGGAAAAGCCUGAGCAAACCCACAGCGGAAAUGCUGACUGAAUACACAAGAAAAAUAGAUUUUCUGAAAGGACUUCUUGAGGC